GCCUGGGUGGCUCAGUCGGUUGGGCAUCUGACUUCAGCUCAGGUCAUGAUCUCACAGUUUGGUUCGUGAGUUUGAGCCUCACAUCCAGCU
rnacentral:tRNA from 1 species